rnacentral:rRNA from 1 species
AUACGGAGGGUGCGAGCGUUAAUCGGAAUUACUGGGCGUAAAGCGCGCGUAGGCGGUUGGGUAAGUCGGAUGUGAAAGCCCCGGGCUUAGCCUGGGGAUUGCAUUCGAUACUGCCCGGCUAGAGUAUGGUAGAGGGAAGCGGAAUUCCGGGUGUAGCGGUGAAAUGCGUAGAUAUCCGGAGGAACACCAGUGGCGAAGGCGGCUUCCUGGACCAAUACUGACGCUGAGGUGCGAAAGCGUGGGGAGCAAACAGGAUUAGAAACCCUAGUAGUCC